UACGUAGGGGGCAAGCGUUGUCCGGAUUUAUUGGGCGUAAAGCGCGUGUAGGCGGCCACGCAGGUCCGCUGUGAAAACUCGAGGCUCAACCUCGAGCUGUCGGUGGAAAACGCGUGGCUAGAGUCCGGAAGAGGGGACUGGAAUUCCCGGUGUAGCGGUGGAAUGCGCAGAUAUCGGGAGGAACGACCCGUGGCGCAAGGCGGGUCCCUGGGACCGUCAGCCUGACGGCUGAGAAGCGAAAGCA
rnacentral:rRNA from 1 species